rnacentral:rRNA from 1 species
UACGUAGGGUGCAAGCGUUGUCCGGAAUUAUUGGGCGUAAAGAGCUCGUAGGCGGUUCGUCGCGUCGGCUGUGAAAACCCGGAGCUCAACUCCGGGCCUGCAGUCGAUACGGGCGGACUAGAGUUCGGUAGGGGAGACUGGAAUUCAUGGUGUAGCAGUGAAAUGCGUAGAGAUCAUGAGGAAGACCAGUGGCGAAGGCGGGUCUCUAGUACGGUACUGACGCUGAGACGCGAAAGCGUGGGGAGCGAACAGG